CUUCUCUUUGCAAAUGAAACGAGAUCCCCGAAACAAAAAUCAAGGCCAAACCCUAGGUGAACCCGGCAAAUUUUUCCCCAAAAAUUUGACCCACCGCGAUUUGCACACACUUCUUCUUCUCCAGAUAUGGCUGCAGCUUAGCAUUUCUUCCAUAUUCUUACCUCAUCUUGGUAGGGCGGAUAGCAAUGGAGAUGGAAAAAUCACGAGAGAUGAAGUGCAAGAGGUAAAUUCGUUAUAUUUAUUAGACGUGCCUCUUCACUUUCUCCAGAUAUUAUUACUUGUUUUUGGCUUUUAAUUUAUGCAUUUUUAAUUUCAUAAUUUUUGAAUGAUAUCUGCAAAAUGGUAAAACUGCUAGAGAGAGAGAGGAACAAAAUGGUAAAACUGCUACGAAAUUGACCAAAUCUUUGAUCGAUCCGUUGAGUAGAAGAAAAAAGAAAUCGCGUGAAUCAUAUAAGAAGUGAAGAAGAAGCAGAAGAAGGCAAAAAAAAGGAUGCUGCCUACCUCAUCAUCGACAAAAGGGCGCUCGGGUUCUCGUGCCCGACCCAAUUCUUUCCUCCCUCAGUACUUCUGCAGAAUAGUCCUACUCACACGUAUAGAUCUGAUGGUGAUCCUACUUGUAAAAAUUUUCGAAGAUGUCGCACAAUUCGCAUAUCACUGCAUUAAUCAACACGUUUGAACUUAUUCAAUUGGCUAUGAAAGACGAAUCGUGUCUGGAUUAGGAUUUAUGUUGUUUAUUAUUAUUUAUUUUGUAAUGAAGGACGAGGUGAAGUGGAUAAAGAAAUGAAUUCCAAAUUCCCAUGUGUUCUUCUAUCUGUUUACAUUUUCUCCUCCUAGUUUUGUUAUUUGAGAUAAUUUGGUACCGGAAUUGUGAUAUUGUUGAAGAAUUGAGCUUGUGGAUGCUGGUGCUGUGGCAAAAUCUAUCUGAAAAAUAUUGUGUACACGGACUUGAUUGAUAGAGAAACUAUUAUUCUACUCCACUCCUUAUCAUUAACUAUUUCUAGAAGGUUUGUUUUAGAAUAUUGUACCAAGAGGGAGUGAAGUGAUUUGAGAUUAUUUACUUGUUUUCAAGAAGAAAAUAUGUUCAUCCAGAGAUUAUUUGGAACUGAGUUAACUGAUCGAGGUUGGGCUGAUAUUUUGUAUAUUGAUCACAAUAUUCAAGCUAUUAUUUUCUGUUUUUGUUCUCUUUAUGUUCUUUAUUUUCUCUGUUUCUUAAUUAAAAUAUACAAACAUGGUAUCUCUUUAUACCGUGUUGAAUUUAUGAUGUUGAAAUAUUUAUGAAGAUGUAAAUUUUGUUAAUUUGUUUGUAACCAAACAUAAAAAUAGAGUACCAAGUACCUAACCUUAUUUCAUUUAUUUGUUUAUGUAUUCAUUGUUUCUCAUUUGACAUGAAAAAAGGUUUGACUAACAUUACAGUUCAGAGUAAUUGCAACUAGGAAGAAAGACUAAGAAAAGCAAUUUGAAUCAAAUCCUGAACGUGUGUCAUUUUAGUAAAAUUGUUAACCUGACAUACAAAAGAAGCAAGACAUAUCAGUUGGAAUUGCUGGUAUUUUUGUCAACUUGGAGGAAAUUCUAUGACCAGUUGGAAUUAAAACCAAAAUGAGAUGGAAAAUAUAUAAUGUUUAUGUAUCCUUGCACUGCCUAUGUCCCUCUAAAGUUCUAGUUCUGAUGAAACUACGAACUUGAGAAUGAAAUUCGAACAACCAUAACUGUAAUAUCUUUUGUGUGCAUGCUUGUGUAUAAUUUAAGGAAUCGGUAAAUUUCAAUGGUAGCGAUCAGAAUUUUAAUCCAAGAAAAGAAUCAAUGAAGAUGAGGUUUAUCAGAAACCGUAUGAUGAAGAUCAAUAAGCCUUCUAUCAAGACAGUUCAGGUAAUUAAUUGCUUAUAUUUGCUUGACUUGAUUAUUUUUGCAUAAAGAAUCUAACUUAACAUUCUUGUUUAAUUUAUAGAAGGGACCAUUCCAAUUAGAAGAACAACAGAGCAAGAUUUUUUGAAGGCUUGUUCUAUACGAAGAUUCGGGAGAAAAAUACGAAGGCCUAUUCAAAGAGAUUCAUUUAGCAAUGGGCAUGAGAUUAGUCUAAUUGAUCGAACAUAGAGAUGAAAAAUGAUUG
rnacentral:lncRNA from 1 species